CUGAACUUAAGCAUAUCAAUAAGCGGAGGAAAAGAAACCAACAGGGAUUGCCUCAGUAACGGCGAGUGAAGCGGCAAAAGCUCAAAUUUGAAAUCUGGCUCCUUCGGGGCCCGAGUUGUAAUUUGCAGAGGAUGCUUCGGGCGUGGCCGCGGUCUAAGUCCCCUGGAACGGGGUGUCGCAGAGGGUGAGAAUCCCGUCUUCGGCCGGCCGUUCGCCCGUGUGAAGCUCCUUCGACGAGUCGAGUUGUUUGGGAAUGCAGCUCUAAAUGGGUGGUAAAUUUCAUCUAAAGCUAAAUAUUGGUCGGAGACCGAUAGCGCACAAGUAGAGUGAUCGAAAGAUGAAAAGCACUUUGAAAAGAGAGUUAAACAGCAUCGUGAAAUUGUUGAAAGGGAAGCGCUUGCGACCAGAGUCGGCCGCGGGGGUUCAGCGGGCAUUCGUUGCCCGUGCACUCCCCGCGGGCGGGCCAGCGUCGGUUUUGACGGCCGGUCAAAGGCCCCCGGAAUGUGUCGCCUCUCGGGGUGUCUUAUAGCCGGGGGUGCAAUGCGGCCAGUCGGGACCGAGGAACGCGCUUCGGCACGGACGCUGGCUU
rnacentral:rRNA from 1 species